UAGGAUGGCUGGCCCUGCCCCUCCUUGAACACUGCAGCAGGAGAGCUGGCCCCUAUGGCAUGUACCUAGAAGGGCUGGCUCCACAUCUUGCCUAAGGGAGGCGGUACCUGUGGCCCUGGACUGAUCAGCUACCACCAAACCUACGACUGGACCACACCUACAUCUGCCUGUAUGUUGGAAUAUGAAGACAAAAAGAAGACUGAAAUGAAUCAGUUUUUAAGAAGAACACCACUGAGACAAGUUUUGCUUCUUUCUUGGGGAUGUACAGACCUCAGGCGAAAGUUGGCUCUAGAUAGAAGAGCAGUGAGAAGGUAUACAAAGGUUGGAAUGCACAGUUGCAGGUGUGGGUCUCACAAUCACAGAACAAGAGUCUGUUACCACAAGGAAUGAACACAGAACAAAAUAAAACAACACAGAAUAAAGAGGAAAAUACUAACUUAUUUCAGGUGCUUCGAUGUAUUGAAAGGUGGAGAUCUUCAUAAACAUGGAAACACAGUGUUAGAAUGCAUUAGUUCUUGCAAAACAAUAAAUUGAUAUAUUAAGUUCUACUCAUUCAAAUCAACAUAUGACUUUAAGAAAAUGGAAAAAAUAUACAUUAAAAUCAGAUCACAAAAU